rnacentral:sRNA from 1 species
UGAUUAACACCCGAGUCAUUUUACAAACUCUCUUCGGGACGGUCGAUCGAAUAAAGUCCCGAGGUGCUUUGUUCUAGGCUAGGGGCCAUUUAUAUGUUUAACCAUGAGGUGAUUGUUAUUCUUAGACUGUUUGGCUCGGUCUUGCUUGUGGGGGGAAUCCGACCCCAACACUCAGC